rnacentral:rRNA from 1 species
CCUACGGGGGGCAGCAGUAGGGAAUAUUGCUCAAUGGGGGAAACCCUGAAGCAGCAACGCCGCGUGGAGGAUGAAGGUUUUCGGAUUGUAAACUCCUUUUGUUAGAGAAGAUAGUGACGGUAUCUAACGAAUCAGCACCGGCUAACUCCGUGCCAGCAGCCGCGGUAAUACGGAGGGUGCAAGCGUUACUCGGAAUCACUGGGCGGAAAGAGCGCGUAGGCGGGAUAGUAAGUCAGAUGUGAAAUCCUAUGGCUUAACCAUAGAACUGCAUUUGAAACUGUUAUUCUAGAGUAUGGGAGAGGUAGGUGGAAUUCUUGGUGUAGGGGUAAAAUCCGUAGAGAUCAAGAGGAAUACUCAUUGCGAAGGCGACCUGCUAGAACAUAACUGACGCUGAUGCGCGAAAGCGUGGGGAGCAAACAGGAUUAGAUACCCGAGUAGUC